CAGUGCAUUAUAACAGUGAUUUUCUAGAGUGCUCUAGAACUUUUUAAGGCAGCUCACCUUGUAUAUUAACUUUGUGUUUGCAUACGUUAACAGUUAUCAUUUUCUUUAACCAUCAACUAGAGCGCCUUUGUAGAAGACAAAGAUGACUAAGUGCUCUGGCUCAUCUACUCAGAAAUCUUUUGCAGGAGAAAAGGGAAGAAAGAGAGGUCUUAGUGCUGAAUACAAAUUAAGAUGGAUCGAGCAACAUAAAACAAGGAGAAGUGGAUGGGUGGAUGUUUUAUAUAUUCAUAAAUAUGUACCAAAUCUUACUUGCCGAUCUAUUAGAGCCGUGCAAAUGUAUGAAAAGUAUGGUACUCUUCCGAGAGGAAAUUAAGUAUCCAAGUGUAUCACUACAAUAUAAUAGACAAAAGGUCCAUCAUCAAAAUAAAUGUUGAUUCAACUUUAAAUCUUCAGAAUUCUGUCUGUACUUCAUCUGUGUUUAUCAUAUUGUUGGGCUUAAAUUUUAUUUGGAUUUAGAUGCUGAUACUUAUGAAUGUCAAAUUAUAUUGUGCUUUGUAUGACUCAAUUUAUCUUUUUAUGCAUGCUACAUGUUUAAUGUCAAUUUUAAGU